rnacentral:rRNA from 1 species
AACGAACGCUGGCGGCAUGCCUAACACAUGCAAGUCGAACGAGACCUUCGAGUCUAGUGGCGCACGGGUGCGUAACGCGUGGGAACCUGCCCUUAGGUUCGGAAUAACUCCCCGAAAGGGGUGCUAAUACCGGAUAAUGUCUUCGGACCAAAGAUUUAUCGCCUUUGGAUGGGCCCGCGUUGGAUUAGCUAGUUGGUAGGGUAAAAGCCUAUCAAGGCGACGAUCCAUAGCUGGUCUGAGAGGAUGAUCAGCCACACUGGGACUGAGACACGGCCCAGACUCCUACGGGAGGCAGCAGUGGGGAAUAUUGGACAAUGGGCGAAAGCCUGAUCCAGCAAUGCCGCGUGAGUGAUGAAGGCCUUAGGGUUGUAAAGCUCUUUUACCCGGGAUGAUAAUGACAGUACCGGGAGAAUAAGCUCCGGCUAACUCCGUG